rnacentral:lncRNA from 1 species
GAAAUAUCUGUGAUAUCACCAAGGAUCUUAUACAAGGUCACAAAAAUUCAAACAUAGCCGAACUUACAAACGAGUCUUUCUUGAUUUUUUUUAUCCCUUUCAACUUAAUAAUGAAUCAGAAUAGAGGAUUUCAUCAUAUAUGGCGGUACAUCUUAACAUCUGAUUAUCUGAAUAGUUGAAAUUAUGCAGCUUUCAUUCAUGGAGACAAAACAUACUAGUCUAAGAUUCCUAAUGUUUCCAUGGUUGGCUCAUGUCCAUGUAUUCCUGUCUACAGAUAAGAAAAAAAAUAUUUUGCUGCACUGGAAAUGAUGAUGUGCUACUGCACCAAAUAAAGUGAAGAAUAGGAGAGAAAAUUGAGAGGAGUUCGU